GACGAACGCUGGCGGCGUGCCUAAUACAUGCAAGUCGAGCGCAGGAAGCCGUCUGAACCCUUCGGGGGGACGACGGUGGAAUGAGCGGCGGACGGGUGAGUAACACGUAAAGAACCUGCCCAUAGGUCUGGGAUAACCACGAGAAAUCGGGGCUAAUACCGGAUGUGUCAUCGGACCGCAUGGUCCGCUGAUGAAAGGCGCUCCGGCGUCGCCCAUGGAUGGCUUUGCGGUGCAUUAGCUAGUUGGUGGGGUAACGGCCCACCAAGGCGACGAUGCAUAGCGGACCUGAGAGGGUGAUCGGCCACACUGGGACUGAGACAAGGCCCAGACUCCUACGGGAGUCAGCAGUAGGGAAUCUUCCACAAUGGACGAAAGUCUGAUGGAGCAACGCCGCGUGAACGAUGAAGGCUUUCGGGUCGUAAAGUUCUGUUGUAAGGGAAGAACAAGUGCCGCAGGCAAUGGCGGCACCUUGACGGUACCUUGCGAGAAAGCCACGGCUAACUACGUGCCAGCCGCCGCCGUAA
rnacentral:rRNA from 1 species